UUUGGGCCCUAGUAUUGCUUGCACUGUUGCAGAGUUAACCAGCCAAAAUAAUAGAGAUCACUGUGCCUUGGUUCGUAGUGGCUGUGCCUUCAUGGUUCAUGUCUGCCAAGAUGAACACCAACUUUACAAUGAAUUUUUCACAAAACCAACAUCAAAAUUAGAUGAGCUUUUGGAGAAACUGUGUGUGUCAUUGUAUGAUGUCUUCAGGCCAUUGAUCAUUCAUGUUAUUCACUUAGAGACUCUGUCGGAACUUUGUGGGAUUCUUAAAAAUGAGGUGCUUGAAGAUCAUGUGCAGAACAAUGCUGAGCAACUGGGGGCAUUUGCAGCUGGAGUCAAGCAGAUGUUAGAAGAUGUACAGGAGCGGCUCGUCUACCGAACCCACAUCUAUAUUCAGACGGACAUCACGGGCUAUAAACCAGCUCCUGGAGAUCUGGCAUAUCCCGAUAAGUUAGUCAUGAUGGAGCAAAUUGCACAGAGUUUGAAAGAUGAACAGAAGAAGGUACCUUCAGAAGCUUCAUUUUCAGAUGUUCACUUAGAAGAAGGAGAGUCUAACAGUCUGACAAAAUCUGGUUCAACAGAAUCCCUCAAUCCUAGACCACAGACCACAAUUUCUCCAGCAGAUCUUCAUGGAAUGUGGUAUCCUACGGUUCGAAGAACUCUUGUCUGUCUCUCCAAAUUAUACAGAUGCAUAGAUAGGGCAGUGUUCCAAGGAUUAUCACAGGAAGCAUUGUCUGCCUGCAUUCAGUCCUUACUUGGAGCGUCAGAGUCUAUCAGCAAAAACAAGGUUUGAUGAAGUGUUAGGUGAAAUCCUGUUUCCUGGUAAAAUACUGUGGAAUAUAGCAUUUACUUAUAGGCACAGAAGUUUAAAGCUGUUUUGGCAGUAGGAUUUGUUUAACAUGAUUGAAUUUUGAGGCUCUUUGAGAGAAAC
rnacentral:sRNA from 1 species